rnacentral:rRNA from 1 species
GACGAACGCUGGCGGCGUGCUUAACACAUGCAAGUCGAACGGAAAGGCCCUGCUUUUGUGGGGUGCUCGAGUGGCGAACGGGUGAGUAACACGUGAGUAACCUGCCCUUGACCUUGGGAUAACUUCAGGAAACUGGGGCUAAUACCGGAUAGGAGCUCCUGCUGCAUGGUGGGGGUUGGAAAGUUUCGGCGGUUGGGGAUGGACUCGCGGCUUAUCAGCUUGUUGGUGGGGUAGUGGCUUACCAAGGCUUUGACGGGUAGCCGGCCUGAGAGGGUGACCGGCCACAUUGGGACUGAGAUACGGCCCAGACUCCUACGGGAGGCAGCAGUGGGGAAUAUUGCACAAUGGGCGGAAGCCUGAUGCAGCAACGCCGCGUGCGGGAUGACGGCCUUCGGGUUGUAAACCGCUUUCGCCUGUGACGAAGCGUGAGUGACGGUAAUGGGUAAAGAAGCACCGGCUAACUACGUA